AUUGAACGCUGGCGGCAGGCCUAACACAUGCAAGUCGAACGAGCGGCGGACGGGUGAGUAAUGUCUGGGGAACUGCCUGAUCGAGGGGGCUAACUACUGGAAACGGUAGCUAAUACCGCAUACUAUCGGAUGUGCCCAUAUGGGAUUAGCUAGUAGGUGGGGUAAAGGCUCACCAAGGCGACGAUCCCUAGCUGGUCUGAGAGGAUGACCAGCCACACUGGGACUGAGAAACUGUCCAGACUCCUACGGGAGGCAGCAGUGGGGAAUAUUGCACAAUGGGCGCAAGCCUGAUGCAGCCAUGCCGCGUGUAUGAAGAAGGCCUUAGGGUUGUAAAGUACUUUCAGCGGGGAGGCGUUACCCGCAGAAGAAGCACCGGCUAACUCCGUGCCAGCAGCCGCGGUAAUAC
rnacentral:rRNA from 1 species